rnacentral:lncRNA from 1 species
GUAAUCCUCCUGCCUCAGCCUCCCAAAGUGCUAGGAUUGCAGGUAAAUGAUGUCUUGCUUGGGAAUAGAACCCUUGGAGCGUGUAGAUGGGAUACCACGGUCUUCCAGCUCCUAUUGCAGGGCUGCUUUGUGUGGGAAAGCUGGUGGCAGAUCAUGGAAAGACGGCCCAUCAUAGAACCAAACACACGUGAUCACAGGCAUGACGCAAAACAAUGAAGCUUGGUACCUUCCUCUCGCCACAGGAUGUUUGCAACUGCAGCAGCAGAGAAUGAGGAAAGCAGGAGUGUGAUGGAGUCAAGGAAAAAGAAGAAAGCAGUGUUAAACCGUCACUGCAGUGAUUCCAUUUAUGAAGAUCCUGGUACCUAGUCCAUCACUUACAGAAUCUAUACCACUCAUUGCCCUAGGAACAGUAUCUUGGGGGAAGCUCUGGACAUGAACAAAUGCUUUCAGGUCUCCAGACCCUUUGAUUCUUAAGUGAAUCUUUGAAAUCAUGCCCUAGGACCACAGAAGCUAAUGGAAUUUCUCACAUUUCAUGGAUGAUCAAGAGUAAGCAACAUCUCUCCCAGAUUUCCUGGACAACCAGCAGGAGAAGUGACUUUCAACUAGGAUUCUCCUAAGAUGACCACGUGAAAUACUUCUGAUUAUCUACUUUGAUGAAAAUGGCUUAGCCUGGAGUCUUUGACCAUGAUUAACACCCAUGUCUAUGAAAUCACACCUGCAGGCCUACCUGGGGAGCAGUGGUUAUGAGGAGAGCACGCUUAGCACACCGAUGGGCUGGACCCCUAGUGUAAAGGCUACCACACUCCCAAUGGUGUGCAUGUGUGCACAGGUCAGGUUCUGGGCCACUGUGGGACAUCACGUGGAUGAAGGGCAGAGGUUCAGGGCAUACAGCAAGUAAAAAGCAGAGCUGGGACUCGACUAUUUGGGUUUCCUUGUGUUCCUGGGCUCUGUCUGCUGUCCAGGGAAUCUCCCUGUCUGUUUCCAGAGUUGUCUAGGUUGCCAGGGAAGGCCUGCUCACCUCUGGGUGCCCUCCAAUUCCAGCUUUAUGCAAAGAGGGAUAUGAGGCUUACCCCUGUCUUCACGGGCUCAUGGUUGGCAGCUGUGGCCCUGGUCAAUUGGUGCCCUCCCUUGCCACCCAACACCUCCCAGCCAGCUCAGUGAGAAGCAUAAACGCGUGUCG